CGUACACGGUGGAUGCCCUGGCAGUCAGAGGCGAUGAAGGACGUGCUAAUCUGCGAAAAGCGUCGGUAAGGUGAUAUGAACCGUUAUAACCGGCGAUGUCCGAAUGGGGAAACCCAGUGUGAUUCGUCACACUAUCGUUAACUGAAUACAUAGGUUAACGAGGCGAACCGGGGGAACUGAAACAUCUAAGUACCCCGAGGAAAAGAAAUCAACCGAGAUUCCCCCAGUAGCGGCGAGCGAACGGGGAGCAGCCCAGAGUCUGAAUCAGCUUGUGUGUUAGUGGAACGGUCUGGAAAGUCCGACGGUACAGGGUGAUAGUCCCGUACACCAAAAUGCACAGGCUGUGAACUCGAAGAGUAGGGCGGGACACGUGGUAUCCUGUCUGAAUAUGGGGGGACCAUCCUCCAAGGCUAAAUACUCCUGACUGACCGAUAGUGAACCAGUACCGUGAGGGAAAGGCGAAAAGAACCCCGGCGAGGGGAGUGAAAAAGAACCUGAAACCGUGUACGUACAAGCAGUGGGAGCACCUUCGGGUGUGACUGCGUACCUUUUGUAUAAUGGGUCAGCGACUUAUAUUCUGUAGCAAGGUUAACCGUAUAGGGGAGCCGCAGGGAAACCGAGUCUUAACUGGGCGUUAAGUUGCAGGGUAUAGACCCGAAACCCGGUGAUCUAGCCAUGGGCAGGUUGAAGGUUGGGUAACACUAACUGGAGGACCGAACCGACUAAUGUUGAAAAAUUAGCGGAUGACUUGUGGCUGGGGGUGAAAGGCCAAUCAAACCGGGAGAUAGCUGGUUCUCCCCGAAAGCUAUUUAGGUAGCGCCUCGUGAACUCAUCUUCGGGGGUAGAGCACUGUUUCGGCUAGGGGGUCAUCCCGACUUACCAACCCGAUGCAAACUACGAAUACCGAAGAAUGUUAUCACGGGAGACACACGGCGGGUGCUAACGUCCGUCGUGAAGAGGGAAACAACCCAGACCGCCAGCUAAGGUCCCAAAGUCAUGGUUAAGUGGGAAACGAUGUGGGAAGGCACAGACAGCCAGGAUGUUGGCUUAGAAGCAGCCAUCAUUUAAAGAAAGCGUAAUAGCUCACUGGUCGAGUCGGCCUGCGCGGAAGAUGUAACGGGGCUAAACCAUGCACCGAAGCUGCGGCAGCGACACUAUGUGUUGUUGGGUAGGGGAGCGUUCUGUAAGCCUGCGAAGGUGUGCUGUGAGGCAUGCUGGAGGUAUCAGAAGUGCGAAUGCUGACAUAAGUAACGAUAAAGCGGGUGAAAAGCCCGCUCGCCGGAAGACCAAGGGUUCCUGUCCAACGUUAAUCGGGGCAGGGUGAGUCGACCCCUAAGGCGAGGCCGAAAGGCGUAGUCGAUGGGAAACAGGUUAAUAUUCCUGUACUUGGUGUUACUGCGAAGGGGGGACGGAGAAGGCUAUGUUAGCCGGGCGACGGUUGUCCCGGUUUAAGCAUGUAGGCUGAUUGUCCAGGCAAAUCCGGAUAAUCAAGGCUGAGGUGUGAUGACGAGGCACUACGGUGCUGAAGUAACAAAUGCCCUGCUUCCAGGAAAAGCCUCUAAGCAUCAGGUAACAUCAAAUCGUACCCCAAACCGACACAGGUGGUCAGGUAGAGAAUACCAAGGCGCUUGAGAGAACUCGGGUGAAGGAACUAGGCAAAAUGGUGCCGUAACUUCGGGAGAAGGCACGCUGGUGUGUAGGUGAAGUCCCUGCGGAUGGAGCUGAGACCAGUCGAAGAUACCAGCUGGCUGCAACUGUUUAUUAAAAACACAGCACUGUGCAAACACGAAAGUGGACGUAUACGGUGUGACGCCUGCCCGGUGCCGGAAGGUUAAUUGAUGGGGUUAUCCGUAAGGAGAAGCUCUUGAUCGAAGCCCCGGUAAACGGCGGCCGUAACUAUAACGGUCCUAAGGUAGCGAAAUUCCUUGUCGGGUAAGUUCCGACCUGCACGAAUGGCGUAAUGAUGGCCAGGCUGUCUCCACCCGAGACUCAGUGAAAUUGAACUCGCUGUGAAGAUGCAGUGUACCCGCGGCAAGACGGAAAGACCCCGUGAACCUUUACUAUAGCUUGACACUGAACAUUGAGCCUUGAUGUGUAGGAUAGGUGGGAGGCUUUGAAGCGUGGACGCCAGUCUGCGUGGAGCCAACCUUGAAAUACCACCCUUUAAUGUUUGAUGUUCUAACGUUGGCCCCUGACCGGGGUUGCGGACAGUGUCUGGUGGGUAGUUUGACUGGGGCGGUCUCCUCCCAAAGCGUAACGGAGGAGCACGAAGGUUAGCUAAUCCUGGUCGGACAUCAGGAGGUUAGUGCAAUGGCAUAAGCUAGCUUGACUGCGAGCGUGACGGCGCGAGCAGGUGCGAAAGCAGGUCAUAGUGAUCCGGUGGUUCUGAAUGGAAGGGCCAUCGCUCAACGGAUAAAAGGUACUCCGGGGAUAACAGGCUGAUACCGCCCAAGAGUUCAUAUCGACGGCGGUGUUUGGCACCUCGAUGUCGGCUCAUCACAUCCUGGGGCUGAAGUAGGUCCCAAGGGUAUGGCUGUUCGCCAUUUAAAGUGGUACGCGAGCUGGGUUUAGAACGUCGUGAGACAGUUCGGUCCCUAUCUGCCGUGGGCGCUGGAGAAUUGAGGGGGGCUGCUCCUAGUACGAGAGGACCGGAG
rnacentral:rRNA from 1 species